CAGUGUCACUUUGGGCUCUGUGCCAGGGUCCCAAACCCCCCUGUCAGGGUCCUAGACCCCUCUGCCAGGGUCCUGGACCAUCCAGGGCAGCCAGAGGGAUGCCCUGGACUCCAGCAGGGAUCCACCUUUAUUUGCCUGUUCCCUGCUCCACGGAAUUCUGUCUGAGGAGUGUUUGGUGUGUGCCCCUGCUGGUGGUGACAGUGACACUGGAAUUCCCUGCACAGCUCCAGCCUGGCAGGGCUGGCAGUGGGCACUGCCCUGCACCAGCCCCAUCUGAGCUCCCAGCAGGAGCAGCAAAUGGAUCUCAUCGAUUUCAGCUCCUUCCCCAGCUGGGACUCACAAAUUGCAGGAGGAGAGAGCUGGAAAAGCUGUUCCUGGGCUCCAAAGAGCAAUUAUUGAUUCCGAGGAGUAAAAACACACUCGGAGAAUUCAGGGGAAAACAAGGAAUCAAGGACACUGCGACAGUUUUAGCUGGGCCUUGCAGGUUUGGGGACUCUUGUGAGAUGUUUUACCUGUGCUGAGUCCAAGCAGUCUCAAGGUAAGUCCUGCUGCCACUAGUGAGGAAAUGUGACAACAAAAUGCACAAAAAUAACAAAAAUUGUUGCAAUCUUCCAUGAAUUUUGUGGAGAAAAGGAAGAGAGAAGAGAGGGAAUUAGGGAUCAAAAGUCAAAUUUAAGUGGAUGUGUUAUUAAUUGUCUAGACGUAGUCUUGAGUUGGAUGUCAAACAUCCAAGCCUGGAAAUACAGUCCUGUAGCAUUUUAUUUAAUAUUUAAAUCAACCUAAUUGGAAUUAAUUUUCAUAUAGAGACAGGCACUGAGUGUCUCUAGUGGAGAUGGAUUUUUCAUUCCUUUCUUUUUCCUUUCCUUUUCUUUGGUGAGAGAAUGACAUCAGUGCCUCAAAACUACAGGACUGUCAAGGGCCAUGAAAAACCUUUAUUUAAGCCGUGCGUGCUCCCGCAGGAAAUGUGUCUAAUCCUGGCUCCGUGACCUCCUUGGCACCUUUGGUGACUGAUGUCGCUGCAGCCCCAGGGAACAGAGCAACAACCAGGGGAGGUUUGCACAGGGUUUUGUUGGAGUGAGACCACUCUGUGAGAGAUAAAGCAGCAAUCCCCGACUUUAUUUACCCAGGGAUGGAGGCCUCAGGCACAGAGGAGUCGACUGCCCGGCAGAGCGGGCAUUUUCCUGGAGAAAUUCCCAAAGGUUCUGGAUUCUGUACUUGUGGAGGGCACUGAUCCCGCGGUGGGGGGACUCACAGCCCCUCUGGUGCCAGAUGAGAAAUUGUUUGCCCCCAGUGGGUUCAUACAAUGCUCAUUCUUCAAACCACUGGCCCAGGGAACCCAUAAUGCCCAUUCUGUUGGAAAAGAACUGGAAAGCAAACCAAGCCCAGUUGUGCCCAGUUUAACCAGUUCACCAAGGGCCAGGUGUGACUUUGGGGUCACCAACCAUCAGGGACCACAAAGAGACCCCAGGAGUGCGGAGCACUUGCGCAGAGGGAAAAUAUGGAAAUGAUUUUCAGGAAAUGAUUAUCAUAUGGAUGUUUAUUCCUGGAAAAUCAAUGGAUAUGUAUGUAAAAUAUAAUAUAAACCAGCUUUGUCUGUACUCAGCAGUCAAGAUAUUUUGGAGAAGA